AUUUCAUCAGGCUCCUGGGCAGGAGGCAGGGCCUUCAGUGUAUUCUCCAAGUCUUCCCGAAGCUCUGUAAAACUUGGCCGGUCUCGGGGGUUCAGCUCCCAACACCGGGACAUCAGGAUAUACCUAAGGCAACAAAGUGAAAGGUUCACCAUGCUGUGGGGAAGCUCAAACAGUACUACAGAAGGGUCCAUAUGGUGAAGGGCCCUUGAAAGCAAUCUCCCAGUCCCAGGUCUUCAGAUGACUGCAGCUCAGCUGACAUCUUGAACUGUCAUCUCAUUGGAGAACCCAAGACAGAAUCACUUGACUAAAUGGUUCACAGACUCCUGACUUUUUGCAACUGUAUGAGCAAAUAAAUGUUUCUUGUGUUAAGCUA